rnacentral:rRNA from 1 species
GCGAUUCGCCCUUCGGGGUGCCCAGGCGCGAAAACUUUGCAAUGCGGGAAACCGUGACAAGGGAACUCUGAGUGCCCGUUAAAUCGGGCUGUCCAUCGGUUUAAAUAACCGGUGAAGAAAGGGCCGGGCAAGACCGGUCCAGCCGCCGCGGUAAUACCGGCGGCUCGAGUGGUGGCCACUAUUACUGGGCUUAAAGCGUUCGUAGCUGGUUUGUUAAGUCUCUGGGGAAAUCUUCCGGCUUAACCGGAAGGCGUCUCAGGGAUACUGGCAGACUAGGGACCGGGAGAGGUGAGAGGUACUCCAGGGGUAGGAGUGAAAUCCUGUAAUCCUUGGGGGACCACCUGUGGCGAAGGCGUCUCACCAGAACGGCUCCGACAGUGAGGGACGAAAGCUGGGGGAGCAAACCGGAUUAGAUACCCGGGUAGUCCCAGCUGUAAACGAUGUGCGUUAGGUGUAUCGGUGACCACGAGUCACCGAGGUGCCGAAGAGAAAUUGUGAAACGUACCGCCUGGGAAGUACGGUCGCAAGGCUGAAACUUAAAGGAAUUGGCGGGGGAGCAC